rnacentral:rRNA from 1 species
UGGGGAAUUUUGGACAAUGGGCGCAAGCCUGAUCCAGCAAUGCCGCGUGCAGGAUGAAGGCCUUCGGGUUGUAAACUGCUUUUGUACGGAACGAAAAGCUUCUGGUUAAUACCUGGGAGUCAUGACGGUACCGUAAGAAUAAGCACCGGCUAACUACGUGCCAGCAGCCGCGGUAAUACGUAGGGUGCGAGCGUUAAUCGGAAUUACUGGGCGUAAAGCGUGCGCAGGCGGUUAUGUAAGACAGAGGUGAAAUCCCCGGGCUCAACCUGGGAACUGCCUUUGUGACUGCAUGGCUAGAGUGCGGCAGAGGGGGAUGGAAUUCCGCGUGUAGCAGUGAAAUGCGUAGAUAUGCGGAGGAACACCGAUGGCGAAGGCAAUCCCCUGGGCCUGCACUGACGCUCAUGCACGAAAGCGUGGGGAGCAAACA